UACAGAGGUCUCGAGCGUUGUUCGGAUUCAUUGGGCGUAAAGGGUGCGUAGGUGGUCGUGUAAGUCGGAUGUGAAAUCCCGGGGCUCAACCCCGGAACUGCAUUCGAUACUGCGUGGCUUGAGUACUGGAGAGGAGAUCGGAAUUUACGGUGUAGCAGUGAAAUGCGUAGAUAUCGUAAGGAAGACCAGUGGCGAAGGCGGAUCUCUGGACAGUUACUGACACUGAGGCACGAAGGCCUGGGGAGCAAACGGG
rnacentral:rRNA from 1 species